UACGAAGGGGGCUAGCGUUGCUCGGAAUCACUGGGCGUAAAGCGCACGUAGGCGGCAUUGCAAGUCGGAUGUGAAAUCCCUCGGCUUAACCAAGGAAGUGCAUCCGAAACUGCAGUGCUUGAGUACUUAAGAGGAUCGCGGAAUUCCCGGUGUAGAGGUGAAAUUCGUAGAUAUCGGGAGGAACACCAGUGGCGAAGGCGGCGAUCUGGGAAGAUACUGACGCUGAGGUGCGAAAGCGUGGGAGCAAACAGG
rnacentral:rRNA from 1 species